rnacentral:rRNA from 1 species
UACGGGGGGAGCAAGCGUUGUUCGGAUUUACUGGGCGUAAAGGGCGCGUAGGCGGCGCAACAAGUCACUUGUGAAAUCUCCGGGCUUAACCCGGAGCGGUCAAGUGAUACUGUCGUGCUAGAGUGCGGAAGGGGCUACUGGAAUUCUCGGUGUAGCGGUGAAAUGCGUAGAUAUCGAGAGGGAACACCCUGGCGGCGAAGGCGGGUAGCUGGGCCGACACUGACGCUGAUGCGCGAAAGCCAGGGGAGCGAACGGG